AUGGCGGGAGACUGGCACCAAAGGUGGCCUGCCAGGGUCAUUGAAGGGUUCAGGAAGAUGCUAGUGGGCCUAUUCGCCUUCCCACCGCAGCCGCCCAAGGUCACCUUCGCCGCCAACUCCAGGGUCGGUGGUGAGGACGCCAUGGCUGUGGCGCCCAAGAGGCCAUCGUGCAUCAGCUCCAACCUGCAGCCGGUGAACAACGCACACUACGACGAGGCCAUCUCCGACUGUGUCAAGUUCUUCCACCGGUCCGCCAGGGUGGAUGUCAGAUCACGGCCGUCGUCGUCGUCCCACUUCUGA
rnacentral:rRNA from 1 species